AGCAGUGAUGAUCAAUUCGUAUCAUAUACGCUGGAAAUUACCGACUGAGACCCCAUCGGGUCCUCGACGACACCAAAUGGCUUAGACUGAGC
rnacentral:snoRNA from 1 species